rnacentral:pre_miRNA from 1 species
AGGCUAUGUGCUGCAGCCAAGGAUGACUUGCCGGAAAAGCUAUAUUUUACAUUAUAUUACCCUGUUCCCUGAUAUUAACUAUAUGCUUCUGUAUCAAUUUUAACUAUACAUUAAUAAAAUUUAUAAUAAAUGUUAUAAGAGUUUAUCGGCAAGUCGUCUCUGGCUAUAUCACUGUUUCA